rnacentral:piRNA from 1 species
CUGUAGGAGGCACCAUCA